AGAGACAAAUGCAUCCUGUCUCACACAAUAGUCAAGGAAUAGUGUCAGCAACUUAGCUGAAUUCAUAACAGUUCAAUAAACAUUUACUGAAUUGUUAUGUUGUGUCAUAACUCUACUAGGCUCAGGGGGAUGAAAGAGUAAUGAAAACCCACCUCAGACCUCAAGAUCUUAUAAUCUAGAAGCAGGCGUUUAUUUUCUUUAUUUAUAGUUCUUUCUUUCCUGAGACGUACCACCAUGUCACACUCAUCAGGCCUGUGGCCGAUAAUGUGUUACUGCUACUGAAAUACAAAAGUUUUCAGGAAUUGUUGUUGACACUAUUCCUUGACUAUUGUGUGAGACAGGAUGCAUUUGUCUCUAAUUUCAAGAGAAAGGAGCACUGCUCCCAUUUUAAAGAUAAAGAAACUGAGGUGUAGAGAGAUUAAGGUACUUGCCCCCUGGUUCUAAAACUUGUAUUUGCACUUGACAGGAUGAGCACCAGGUGUUAUUCUGUCUGUUGAUAAAUUGAACACCAAUAAAAAAUAAAUUUAUUUUAAAAAAUAAAUAAAUUUAAAAAAAUAAAAAAAAACUUCUAUUUGAAAAAAAAAAAUAAUAAACCAAACUUGUAUUUGGUGAAUUGAGAUCGACUCCAGUACUAAGAACACCCAAGUCUAUAUAUUUCCACUAAUGCCUCAAAAGCUCAGUGGGAGCUUUGCACAGAAUAUUCAUACACGUGCGGUUUUCAAUUUCUAUCAGUUUGAGGGGUAAGUUCAUGCACAUGAUACUGUCACUCUUCUUCCUCUGUUCUCCCUCCUUCCUUUCUUUCUUUCCGCUCUGUGCCCCAUCCCUUGCCCCCCUCUCCUUCCUACUCUCUUACAGCUUUAUUGAGAUAGAAGUUUACAUGUCAUACAAUUGGCCCGAUACACUUUUUUCGUUGGUAGAAACAGGGCUGAAGGAAGACUUUCUGGAAGAAGCAAGGCCUUGA
rnacentral:lncRNA from 12 species